NNNNNNNNNNNNNNNNNNNNNNNNNNNNNNNNNNNNNNNNNNNNNNNNNNNNNNNNNNNNNNNNNNNNNNNUCCCUGGGAGUGGGUCCCCCUUUGGGAUCUGGCUCUGGCACGAAAGGGGUCCUGUGUCCCAGAGGCUGGGGUGUCCCGCAGCUCCUGUGGGGCUCUCAAGAGCCUGCUGGAAAUGCCCAUGUUGGAAAUGGAUCCUUCACCUUGUAACAACCCCAAGGCAUCUACUUGUUUGGGAGAACCUCUGCUCCUUCCCUGUGGAUCCAUUUAUGCUUCCAAGGUGGCAGAGCAUGUUUUGGGCUAAGAGAUGUUGUCCUCAGAUGGCCACAGCCCCUGUCAAUGCGGGUCAAACCUAUGCACCCAAAAGACAGCAUGUUUGGAGGAGCACCUUGGGAACAGGUGGGGGUGCCAUGGCCACCCCACAAAUCCAUGCUGACACCAAGCAUUUUUCUCUGAGCUGUGGGGGGCAGUGCUGGGGGCAGUCCAGCAGGGCCAUCUCCCACAGCCCCCUCCCGGCCCCACACCUCCACUGCCCAGCACCGGCAGGCCCAGAACUGCUCUGCCACUGGCUGCCCCGUGCCCCCGGGGCUCCUCAGCCCUGCAGAGUGAGGCACCGGGGUCCAGCCUGGCCCUGCAGAGAGCAGCCCCUGCCUGGCUGUGGCCCAGCCCUGCCGGGCGCAGCGCGAGGGCUGCCGAGCCCCGGGGCUGUCGUGGGCAGGGGGCUGGGGCCCAGGGGCAACAGGGCCCUGCCCUGCCCUGCACUGGGGGCAGCGGGACGCUGCCUGCGGGCUCUGGCACCCCAGCCAUGUCCAGGGCCCCUGUGCCGGCGCCAGGGCCAGCACCAGCACAGGCCCUGCAGCUGCUCCCCCACGCUCCCCACAGCCCCCGGGUGCAGGGCAGCCAGGAACCCCAUGGGGCCCUUGCAGCAGAGCCCAGCCCCAGCAGGGCAGCAGCCGGGCCCCAGGGCCCCACACUGCCCGCCCACAUGGGGCCACGCUGCCCCCAGGCCCCACGAUGCCUCGCACUGCCCCACACUGCCGCCCACAACAUGGUGCCCCAUUGUGAGAGAGGGGGAGGGGGCUGCCUGCGGGGUCACACAGGGCUGUAGCGUUGCCAUGGCAUCACCCCCAGUGCUGCCCUCCUAUUGGCUGGCCAGGGGAAGAGGGCGGGGUCAGGGUUUGACUAGUGGCUCUGUCAGCCAAUCGAGGUGCAGCAUGCGGAAAAACAGCUGUGAAAAUGGAGCCGGAGCCAAGCUGGAGGGAGGGAGYGGGCAUGAGUGGGGCUGGCGGGGCUGCGGGCGCCUUCAGCUGCCAGCAGGUGCCCUCCCGCCGGGGUGGGGGCAGCGGUGCUGGCCUCGGGGCUGCUUUCCUGCAGGAGCUGCAGCAGGGGCUGGUGGGGCCGUGAGCAGGGGCCAGAGCAACCGGGGACAGAGCGGGCAGCUGCCCUGCAACCAGACGUGCUGGGCUGCCCUGAGUAGCUGGGCUGGGGCGGCUGCUGGGGUUGGGGGGCAGGAAGCUUUGCCCCUACCAGUGGUCAGAGACCCAUUUGGAAGCGUUUCCCUGAGCUGCUGCUG
ensembl:lncRNA